rnacentral:rRNA from 1 species
GCCCUUCCUACGGGAGGCAGCAGUGGGGAAUAUUGGACAAUGGGGGCAACCCUGAUCCAGCCAUGCCGCGUGUGUGAAGAAGGCCUUUUGGUUGUAAAGCACUUUAAGCAGUGAAGAAGACUCCAUGGUUAAUACCCAUGGACGAUGACAUUAGCUGCAGAAUAAGCACCGGCUAACUCUGUGCCAGCAGCCGCGGUAAUAAGGGC